rnacentral:lncRNA from 1 species
AGAAGGCAAGACACUGUGAGAUUAUAAUGUGGUAAAUGGAACAGCACUGAGUUGAUGCCAUAUGGGAAACCAGACACGGAAAAAAAGCUGAAAGAUGAAUUUCUUGCCCUUCAAAGAUUCCAAAAUGCAGUAAUUCCAAGAAUGCCUUUCUGGAGAUAUCCUACAUUACCAAACAACUUGUGAAGUCUCUUUUAAAGGUCUAGUGAGCUCAGU